rnacentral:tRNA from 1 species
GCGCCCGUAGCUCAACGGAUAGAGCAUCUGACUACGGAUCAGAAGGUUGGGGGUUCGAAUCCCUCCGGGCGCGCCC